rfam:Novosphingobium sp. ST904 contig_16, whole genome shotgun sequence.
CCUCUUCCACCUGCUGCGGGCAGAUGAAGUGGAUAUGCGCGUCGAUCCCCCCGGCGGUGAGGAUGCGCCCCUCGCCGGCGAUGAUCUCGGUGCCGGGGCCGAUGGGAAUGUCCACGCCCGGCUGCACGUCGGGGUUGCCCGCCUUGCCGAUGGCGCUGAUCCGCCCGUCGCGCAGGGCGACGUCGGCCUUGAUGAUUCCCCAGUGAUCCAGGAUCACCGCAUUGGUGAUGACGGUAUCGGGCGCACCUUCGGCCCGGGUCAUCUGCGACUGGCCCAUGCCGUCGCGG